rnacentral:rRNA from 1 species
GAUGAACGCUAGCGGCAGGCUUAACACAUGCAAGUCGAGGGGUAUAGGUUUUCGGACCUAGAGACCGGCGCACGGGUGCGUAACGCGUAUGCAAUCUACCUUUUGCAGAGGGAUAGCCCAGAGAAAUUUGGAUUAAUACCUCAUAGUAUAACACAAUCGCAUGAUUGAGUUAUUAAAGUCACAACGGCAAAAGAUGAGCAUGCGUCCCAUUAGCUAGAGGGUAAGGUAACGGCUUACCAUGGCCACGAUGGGUAGGGGUCCUGAGAGGGAGAUCCCCCACACGGGUACUAAGACACGGACCAGACUCCUACGGGAGGAAGCAGUGAGGAAUAUUGGUCAAUGGACGCAAGUCUAAACCAGCCAUGCCGCGUGCAGGAUGACGGUCCUAUGGAUUGUAAACUGCUUUUGUACAGGAAGAAACACUCCUUCGUGAAGGAACUUGACGGUACUGUAAGAAUAAGGAUCGGCUAACUCCGUGCCAGCAGCCGCCGUAA